rnacentral:misc_RNA from 1 species
AAAUGCGAUAAGUAGUGUGAAUUGCAGAAUUCAGUGAAUCAUCGAAUCUUUGAACGCACAUUGCGCCCCUUGGUAUUCCAUGGGGCAUGCCUGUUCGAGCGUCAUUUUUACCCUCAAGCUCUGCUUGGUGUUGGGUGUUUGUCCCGUCUCCGCGCGUGGACUCGCCCCAAAGUGAUUGGCAGCCGGCGUACUGGUCCCGGAGCGCAGCACAUGUCGCGCAAACGAGUGCCUUGGUACGGCGGCGUCCAUAAGCCCCUCUCUCACGCUCUUGACCUCGGAUCAGGUAGGGAUACCCGCUGAACUUAAGC